rnacentral:rRNA from 1 species
UGGGGAAUUUUUGGACAAUGGGCGAAAGCCUGAUCCAGCAAUGCCGCGUGUGUGAAGAAGGCCUUCGGGUUGUAAAGCACUUUUGUCCGGAAAGAAAUCCUUGGCUCUAAUACAGUCGGGGGAUGACGGUACCGGAAGAAUAAGCACCGGCUAACUACGUGCCAGCAGCCGCGGUAAUACGUAGGGUGCAAGCGUUAAUCGGAAUUACUGGGCGUAAAGCGUGCGCAGGCGGUUUGCUAAGACCGAUGUGAAAUCCCCGGGCUCAACCUGGGAACUGCAUUGGUGACUGGCAGGCUAGAGUAUGGCAGAGGGGGGUAGAAUUCCACGUGUAGCAGUGAAAUGCGUAGAGAUGUGGAGGAAUACCGAUGGCGAAGGCAGCCCCCUGGGCCAAUACUGACGCUCAUGCACGAAAGCGUGGGGAGCAAACAGGAUUAGAUACCCUGGUAGUCCACGCCCUAAACGAUGUCAACUAGUUGUGGGGAUUCAUUUCCUUAGUAACGUAGCUAACGCGUGAAGUUGACCGCC